rnacentral:rRNA from 1 species
GCUUACACAUGCAAGUCGAGCGGUAGCACAGGGGAGCUUGCUCCCUGGGUGACGAGCGGCGGACGGGUGAGUAAUGUCUGGGAAACUGCCUGAUGGAGGGGGAUAACUACUGGAAACGGUAGCUAAUACCGCAUAACGUCGCAAGACCAAAGAGGGGGACCUUCGGGCCUCUUGCCAUCAGAUGUGCCCAGAUGGGAUUAGCUAGUAGGUGGGGUAAUGGCUCACCUAGGCGACGAUCCCUAGCUGGUCUGAGAGGAUGACCAGCCACACUGGAACUGAGACACGGUCCAGACUCCUACGGGAGGCAGCAGUGGGGAAUAUUGCACAAUGGGCGCAAGCCUGAUGCAGCCAUGCCGCGUGUGUGAAGAAGGCCUUCGGGUUGUAAAGCACUUUCAGCGAGGAGGAAGGUGGUGAGCUUAAUACGCUCAUCAAUUGACGUUACUCGCAGAAGAAGCACCGGCUAACUCCGUGCCAGCAGCCGCGGUAAUACGGAGGGUGCAAGCGUUAAUCGGAAUUACUGGGCGUAAAGCGCACGCAGGCGGUUUGUUAAGUCAGAUGUGAAAUCCCCGGGCUCAACCUGGGAACUGCAUUUGAAACUGGCAAGCUAGAGUCUCGUAGAGGGGGGUAGAAUUCCAGGUGUAGCGGUGAAAUGCGUAGAGAUCUGGAGGAAUACCGGUGGCGAAGGCGGCCCCCUGGACGA